rnacentral:lncRNA from 7 species
ACGAGCGAGAGGACAGAAGGGAAAAAGAGCCUGAGUCCCGCAGACGGGACCUGGAGGGAGUCCGGGGUAGGCGGCGGAACGUGCGGGACCCUUUUCCCGCUGACGAGCGAGAGUAAGGACGCUCAAGUCUCUAAGAUGGCACCAAAUCUCUCAGCAAAGCGGGCAGUAUAGUUGCGUUGUUAAGCAUUUUCCUCGCCGGCGUGCACCACACUGACACUAAUGUCAGAAAUGAAUGUCAAAGUAACUCUGACAUCGUUAGACAGCCCGUUCCGCAGGGACAUCCGCACACGUUGGCGAAAGCGCUGCGGGGAAUAAUGCCCCACCACCGCGAUCUUCGCGACCGACGGCAUCCUCACGUACAGUGCCCUCCGCGGCCACAGAUCUGCGGCUAAACAAACCCAAAUGAACAAAAUAAGUGCAAACCAGGCUUCUUCCUGCAAGGGAGUUGAAAUGCAUGUAUGAGGAGCGUAUAGAAUAAAAGAAAAGAAAAAAAAAAAUGUGUGUUUUCAGCUCCAAAUCGCUGCAUUAACAGCAAGAGAACAAGAUCAGUAUACCUGACAGAAGGGGGCAAACUCCUGUUCGGACAGCGAUUGUUGUAUGACAAGAAGCAACAACUGCUUUGCUAUAAAAACAGUGUUUAUUACGAAGAAACCGAAUGAGCAGCCAUCCAAAUAAAUACCCCCUGCAUCCAACAAGUGCGCGGUGUUUGUGAUGUUUUGGGUGCCGCUGACCUUUCUGUCCUUUUAACCAUUACUGUGUUUUUGCUCGCCGUUAUGAACACUGUUUUCCAGUUGUCCCAAUUUCAACACUGCUUAACACUCCUAAGCUGCACGGAGAAAUAACAGAAAGGGGUAUUUUUUUUCCCCCCUGUAUAUGCGCGUCAAUAAAUUCAAUACGUAUUC